UACGGGGGGGGGCAAGCGUUGUUCGGAAUUACUGGGCGUAAAGGGCUCGUAGGCGGCCAACUAAGUCAGACGUGAAAUCCCUCGGCUUAACCGGGGAACUGCAUCUGAUACUGGAUGGCUCGAGUUUGGGAGAGGGAUGCGGAAUUCCAGGUGUAGCGGUGAAAUGCGUAGAUAUCUGGAGGAACACCGGUGGCGAAGGCGGCAUCCUGGACCAACACUGACGCUGAGGAGCGAAAGCCAGGGGAGCAAACGGG
rnacentral:rRNA from 1 species